UAGGGAAUCUUCGGCAAUGGGGGCAACCCUGACCGAGCAACGCCGCGUGAGUGAAGAAGGUUUUCGGAUCGUAAAGCUCUGUUGUAAGUCAAGAACGGGUGUGAGAGUGGAAAGUUCACACUGUGACGGUAGCUUACCAGAAAGGGACGGCUAACUACGUGCCAGCAGCCGCGGUAAUACGUAGGUCCCGAGCGUUGUCCGGAUUUAUUGGGCGUAAAGCGAGCGCAGGCGGUUUGGUAAGUCUGAAGUUAAAGGCUGUGGCUCAACCAUAGUUCGCUUUGGAAACUGUCAAACUUGAGUGCAGAAGGGGAGAGUGGAAUUCCAUGUGUAGCGGUGAAAUGCGUAGAUAUAUGGAGGAACACCGGUGGCGAAAGCGGCUCUCUGGUCUGUAACUGACGCUGAGGCUCGAAAGCGUGGGGAGCGAACAGG
rnacentral:rRNA from 1 species